rnacentral:rRNA from 2 species
ACGGGAGGCAGCAGUGGGGAAUAUUGGGCAAUGGGGGCAACCCUGACCCAGCAACGCCGCGUGAAGGAAGAAGGCUUUCGGGUUGUAAACUUCUUUUAAGAGGGACGAAAAAGAUGACGGUACCUCUUGAAUAAGCCACGGCUAACUACGUGCCAGCAGCCGCGGUAAUACGUAGGUGGCGAGCGUUAUCCGGAUUUACUGGGUGUAAAGGGCGCGUAGGCGGCCUGUCAAGUCAGAUGUGAAAUCCUCGGGCUUAACUCGGGAACUGCAUUUGAAACUAAUGGGCUUGAGUAUCGGAGAGGCAGGCGGAAUUCCGUGUGUAGCGGUGGAAUGCGUAGAUAUACGGAGGAAUACCAGUGGCGAAGGCGGCCUGCUGGACGACAACUGACGCUGAGGCGCGAAAGCGUGGGGAGCAAACAGGAUUAGAUACCCUGGUA